CUUGCUUGGUGGAUCAGUGGCGAACGGGUGAGUAACACGUGAGCAACCUGCCCUGGACUCUGGGAUAAGCGCUGGAAACGGCGUCUAAUACUGGAUAUGAGCCCCUAUCGCAUGGUGGGGGUUGGAAAGAUUUUUUGGUCUGGGAUGGGCUCGCGGCCUAUCAGCUUGUUGGUGAGGUAAUGGCUCACCAAGGCGUCGACGGGUAGCCGGCCUGAGAGGGUGACCGGCCACACUGGGACUGAGACACGGCCCAGACUCCUACGGGAGGCAGCAGUGGGGAAUAUUGCACAAUGGGCGAAAGCCUGAUGCAGCAACGCCGCGUGAGGGAUGACGGCCUUCGGGUUGUAAACCUCUUUUAGCAGGGAAGAAGCGAAAGUGACGGUACCUGCAGAAAAAGCGCCGGCUAACUACGUGCCAGCAGCCGCGGUAAUACGUAGGGCGCAAGCGUUAUCCGGAAUUAUUGGGCGUAAAGAGCUCGUAGGCGGUUUGUCGCGUCUGCUGUGAAAUCCCGAGGCUCAACCUCGGGCCUGCAGUGGGUACGGGCAGACUAGAGUGCGGUAGGGGAGAUUGGAAUUCCUGGUGUAGCGGUGGAAUGCGCAGAUAUCAGGAGGAACACCGAUGGCGAAGGCAGAUCUCUGGGCCGUAACUGACGCUGAGGAGCGAAAGGGUGGGGAGCAAACAGGCUUAGAUACCCUGGUAGUCCACCCCGUAAACGUUGGGAACUAGUUGUGGGGACCAUUCCACGGUUUCCGUGACGCAGCUAACGCA
rnacentral:rRNA from 1 species